GGGCUUUUGAUACGCUUGUG
rnacentral:siRNA from 1 species